rnacentral:rRNA from 1 species
AACGAACGCUGGCGGCAUGCCUAACACAUGCAAGUCGAACGAGACCUUCGGGUCUUGUGGCGCACGUGGGCGUACCGCGGGGGAACCUACCCGUAGGUUCGGAAUAACUCCCCGAAAGGGAUGCUAAUACCGGAUAAUGUCUUCGGACCAAAGAUUUCUCGCCUUUGGGUGGGCCCGCGUUAGAUUAGCUAGUUGGUAGGGUAAAAGCAUACCAAGGCGACGAUGCAUAGCUGGUCUGAGAGGAUGCUAAGCCACACUGGGACUGAGACACGGCCCAGAAUCCUACGGGAGGGAGCAGUGUGGUAUAUUGUGCGAGGGGCGAAAGUCUGACACAGCAAUGUGGGGGGAGUGAUGAAGGCCGUAGUGUUGUAAAGCUCUUUUACCCGGGAUGAGAAUGACGGUACCGGGAGAAUAAGCUCCGGCUAACUCCGUG